UGAAUACGAGAUGCUACGGCGUCGAAGCAGUGUAUGUCAGACUUCCAAGAAAAGCUCGCAAUGUCAUAAAUAAAGAAUGCCUGUACCAUAACCGACACAGGUGGGUAGGUAGAGUAUACUAAGGGGCGCGAGAUAACUCUCUCUAAGGAACUCGGCAAAAUAACUCCGUAACUUCGGGAGAAGGAGUGCCUUCUUUAAGAAGGUUGCAAUAACAAGAUCCAAGCAACUGUUUAUCAAAAACACAGGUCUCCGCUAAGUCGUAAGACGAUGUAUGGGGGCUGACGCCUGCCCAGUGCCAGAAGGUUAAAGAAGUUGGUUAGCUUUUGCGAAGCUGAUGACUGAAGCCCUGGUGAACGGCGGCCGUAACAAUAACGGUCCUAAGGUAGCGAAAUUCCUUGUCGGGUAAGUUCCGACCCGCACGAAAGGCGUAAUGAUUUGGAUACUGUCUCGGAGAGGGACUCGGUGAAAUAGACUUGUCUGUGAAGAUGCGGACUACCUGCACCAGGACAGAAAGACCCUAUGAAGCUUUACUGUAACUUGAAAUUGAAAUUGGACUUUAUUUGCGCAGUAUAGGUGGAAGGCGUUGAAAGUAAUCUUGCGGGAUUAGUGGAGCCAUCAGUGAGAUACCACUCCUAUAAUGUUAGAUUUCUAACUUUGGAUCAUGAUCUGGUCAAAGAACAGUUUCAGGCGGGCAGUUUGACUGGGGCGGUCGCCUCCCAAAUGGUAACGGAGGCGUACAAAGGUUUCCUCUGAACGGGUAGAAAUCGUAUCUAGAGUGUAAAGGCAUAAGGAAGCUUGACUGUGAGACCUACAAGUCGAGCAGGGACGAAAGUCGGUCUUAGUGAUCUGACGGUGCUGAGUGGAAAGGCCGUCACUCAUCGGAUAAAAGUUACUCUAGGAUAACAGGCUGAUCUCCCCCAAGAGUUCACAUCGACGGGGAGGUUUGGCACCUCGAUGUCGGCUCAUCGCAUCCUGGGGCGGUAGUACGUCCCAAGGGUUGGGCUGUUCGCCCAUGAAAGCGGUACGCGAGCUGGGUUCAGAACGUCGUGAGACAGUUCGGUCCAUAUCCGGUGUAGGCGUUAGAAUAUUGAGAGGAGCCUUCUUUAGUACGAGAGGACCGAGAAGGACAUACCUCUGGUGUACCAGUUAUCGUGCCAACGGUAAACGCUGGGUAGCUAUGUAUGGAGAGGAUAACCGCUGAAAGCAUCUAAGUGGGAAGCCCACCUCAAGAUGAG
rnacentral:rRNA from 1 species